UUGGCUAAACAAAACAUGACAGUCCUGAAAAAGCCGGAACCUGCAAAAAGCGUUGCAACACAGCUGGACAGACUUCUUCGCACGUCUGUUGAUUCGCUCCAGUAGACUUCUUUAGGAUUGUCUCUGCUGAAUUUUUGUCUCGAGCUGUCACCAACACUGACAGUAUGCCAGACCCACAGCGUUGAGGGAAUUGGGAGGACUGAGUCAACCCCUUGAUGAGCUCCAGUUCUGAGGUCCCCAUACUGCCUCUGGGCCAGCAGGAGGGGGAGUGACAGGCAAGCAGAGCCCACAGUGGACAUUACUGGCAUCCCUAACCAGAGGACUGAGGAAACAUGCUAGGAGAGGGCCGCUCUGCUCUCCUCAGCGCCCCAGCAAAGCCACAACACAAACAGCGGCGGCCAUAUCGGGCCUCAGCUGCCGACAUGUCUGCUCAGCGGCGUAUUUAUUUAAACCUGCCGCUGGUCCUGGCGGUCCCGCGCAGUCCUCGCCGGGGGCCUCCCCAGCUUGUUUGAGAAUCCAUUCACACCUGCGCAUUAAAUUACUGACACUAAUGUUACUAGUAAUGCUUGGACCAGGUCCCAUUUUUUUGGAACCUAUAAAUCGGCAGGAGCUGGGAAAUAUAGACACGUUGGAGAGAGAAAACAAAUCCAAUGAAGGACAGAUUCAGACUUGAUCGAGAGGAGAUGUUGUCAGAUAAGCAUGACCUUGUCUGUCCUUUUAUUUUUGUUUUCAUAUUUUUCAUGUUUGUGUCUUGAGAGUACUUUUUUGUUGUUGUAAUCGAAUAUGUUUAGUGCAAUAGGGGUAUAAUAGAAUAAUAUCAUAUGUCUCCAUAAGGCACACAGGAAAUACUUAAAUAUGAGCGGAGAGUCAUAUGAGAAAGAACACAUGGACUGUUGGUGUAGGACCCCCUUCUCUCCAUUCUGUCUCUGUCCAAAGACUGUAAA